CCUACGGGAGGCAGCAAUCAGGGAUCUUGCGCAAUGGGCGAAAGCCUGACGCAGCGACGCCGCGUGGGUGAGGAAGUCCUUCGGGAUGUAAAGCCCUUUUCACCGGGAAGAGGAAGGACGGUACCGGUGGAAUAAGCCCCGGCCAACUACGUGCCAGCAGCCGCGGUAAGACGUAGGGGGCGAGCGUUGUCCGGAUUCACUGGGCGUAAAGGGCGCGUAGGCGGCUUAGCAAGUUAGCAGGUAAAGGCACGGGCUCAACCUGUGAGGGACUGCUAAGACUGCUAAGCUAGAGAGCAGGAGAGGGGAGUGGAAUUCCAGGUGUAGCGGUGGAAUGCGUAGAUAUCUGGAGGAACACCCGUGGCGAAGGCGGCUCGCUGGCCCAAUACUGACGCUAAAGCACGAAAGCGUGGGGAGCAAACAGGAUUAGAUACCCUAGUAGU
rnacentral:rRNA from 1 species